GUUUUGCCAGCAAGCUAGGUGCAAGACGGCUUUCACACACACUUAUCUCUCAGAAAUUAGCAUGUGGAGAGACGUGCAUUCAUCUAGCACGAAGGGAAUGGUUUGCAGGAGAAACAGUUACUCUGGUUUCUCAGUCUGUUUCCUAGUGCCUGUUUGAAGUUCCUGCAGUUUUCACUGUAAAGCUGAGUUGGAGCUAGAAUCUCCUCAUAU